rnacentral:rRNA from 1 species
GUGUCAGCAGCCGCGGUAAUACGGAGGGUGCAAGCGUUACUCGGAAUUACUGGGCGUAAAGCGUGCGUAGGUGGUUGUUUAAGUCUGUCGUGAAAGCCCUGGGCUCAACCUGGGAACUGCGAUGGAGACUGGGCAACUAGAGUGUGGUAGAGGGUAGCGGAAUUCCUGGUGUAGCAGUGAAAUGCGUAGAUAUCAGGAGGAACAUCCAUGGCGAAGGCAGCUACCUGGGCCAACACUGACACUGAGGCACGAAAGCGUGGGGAGCAAACAGGAUUAGAUACCCUAGUAGUCC